rnacentral:lncRNA from 1 species
GCUGGCAGCCCCCUGACUCUGCCUGAACACUUGAGUGGCAGAUUUCUCACCAUUUCCUGGGGAAGCGAUUCCAAUUUCAAUGUGAGAACGUGACUCCUUUUAAUGAGUCAAUAUCUGUCUUCCUGAAUCUUUCACCAGUUGGCUCUUGUUCUGUCUUCUGGAAUCUCACAGGAAAAAAAAUCCCACCUCCGCACCCCCGACAGCGUCCAGUGGAGACACUCACGGAGUGAGAGCUCUCCAUCCGCAGGGCAGGGCGGGCGACUCCAUCCGCAGGGCAGGGCGGGCGACUCACACCUGGGGGUUCUGACCCCACCUUGGUGGGGGCCUUCUCUCACCACAAACAAACACGGUGGAACCAGCACCCUGCCCUGCCCAGCCAGCAACUGGGGGAGACUGGGAGCACCGGGGUUAGCCUCUGCAGGAGGCUUCUGGCCCCACUGGCCCUCUGACAGGCAAAUGCAUAGGAAUCUCACCAUGUUCAGCCUUGGACAAACACACAUUCUCAAGACAGCAGCUGGUGGAGAAGGAAGUGAGCCUAGAAGUCCAUGUCAAGCCCACGGUGCCUCCUCCACCCAGCCUGGCAUCCUGCCUGGGGGCUGAAGGGAGACUGGUGCCCAGGGCCUGCCGGGGCAGCUCAGCCACCUCUGUCUCAAAAGGACCCGGGUGCCCCACAGGAGAGGCUGAGGCUGAGGCCUGGAAGUCCUGGUCCCCUCCCACACGCAGCCCUCCCUGCUCCUCCAGCUGCCCCUGCCUGCCCCUGCUCACCCAGCCUUCACCCCCGACUCUCUCAUAGACCAGAAACCACGUGGCGAGGCUGGGUGCAUAUUCACAUGAGAGAGAACGCCACAGCAACCCUGAGACAACAAGAACACUUUCCUGACAGAUGCUGGAGACGCCCCUUCCUAUGGGGGUGUGUGUGAGCCCUGGAGCCACCGAGCCACAGGGGCAGGAUGCCCUCUCCUUGGACAGUGGAACCCACUUCAGAAGGUUGUCAUGAAGGCAAAAUGGCAGAACACCACGCAGUCUCCCGACCCCCUCCUGCUCCUCUCCCAGAUCCCCCGCCUGCUUCUCACCCUGCUUGGCAUGGAAAGCUUCACUAUUACUUCCCCGGUGCUCCAUUUGGUAAUCACUGUGUACUACAUUGUUGCCAAGAAUCAUGCUGAUUUCUAACGCCAAAGGACAACAUCUAGAACUGAACGCCGUAGCAGUCUGGACCCCUGACUUCUGAUGACAUGGCCAGCAGCAGUGAGGAAACUCAUGCUAACAGCACCAGCCCUGACGGGGUGUGCAUCCUGCGGGCUGCCUGGAGGUCUGAGGGUGCAGAAGCGCUGUUGGCCCUUUCAGGAGGAGCAUUGCAGGGCAAGCUUGGAGUGGAAAGGCCGCAUGGUUCUCUGCAAUCUGCCAAGGUCAGCUGGUGUCAGAGACAGCAGGUUAUCCAGGGAGAGGCUGGAAAACUUACGUGUUCGGUUGGAGGAAGUCUUACUUUCAUUAUGAUUCUUAUUAUUUGAAGCUCAUGUUGAAGUAAGCUAUGAGCUCAGGCACCAGUUGCCCAGGGCUGGGUGGCAGGUUCAUGAGGCAGAGAGGGCUCCCUCUGGGGCGGGGUCCCAUGCGUCCAGGCCACACAGGGGUCCUGGGCAGGACCAUACAUCCAGCCCAGGGUGCACGACUUGAAGGGAUGGCCUUCAGUAAGACACUUCACCUCACUGGGCCUCAGUUUCCCCAGUUACAUACCUAAAAGUUUGAAUCCUGUGUCUAAGAUUUAGCUUUCCCUCUAGCUUUUAUCUUCUGUAAGCGUUUUGAUCUAUAAGCUCAGUGGAGGUUUAAGGGCAAAGUGCACACCCUUGGGCCCAGAAAGAGGGAGCCCAUUUGCAUUUGAAAGAUCCCAGAACCUUCUGAAUUCUGCCUUGAGUGAGGCUGGAUGAUGGCCUGGCAGCCCCAGCACGAAAAGCAGGUUCCAGGCCUUCCCCCAACAGCUGCUGACCAGAGCACAGCAGAUGCUUCCUGCUCCAAAGCUGACUUCUUUCUUUACAGAAGCCUCCUGGGGACCUCACGGAGGAUGCGUUCCGUGCUCGCCUUUCCCUCCCUGUCCCUCUGGCAUGGCCUGUAGUUGGAAACAGUCACAGCAAAAGCAACUAGCUCGACUAAGAGCAGGACGAGGUUCUCUCCAUAGCCAGGAAGCAGGCUGGGAUUGAAGGGAAGGUGAGACUGUGAGAUGAGCCAUUUUGGUAAAAAGAGGACACUGGCCCCUCUGCUGUUUUGCAGAACUCAGGGUUAAGGCGGCAUCAGAGUCUCUGUGUUGGCACACGUGGAUUGGAAGGUUUCUGUCACAUUUGUGGUUUAGUUAGGAGGAUUGUGACAGGAGACAGCAGGGUUGGAAGAAUCAGGCCAGUGUGGUGCCAUGUGCUCCUGUGGAUUGGUCCUGUCUGCCUCUGCCCACCCCAGGGAGAGGGAGCACAGCCAAAUGGUCAAGAACUUUGACUUUUCAUUCCAGCAGCUGGGCUGAGGUCCUAUCUCUUCUUCUCACAGGCUGUGGGAUUUGGACAAAUCGGUCAACCUUUCUGUGCCUCAAUAAUGGGAUAAUAGGAGUGUCUCCUCGCAGGCUUGUCGGGAGGUCUAAGUGACAGGGGGCUUGUCAACAGCUGGUUAUAGGCCACAGCCCACAGAUGUGAAGG